GACCACUCCUUGGUGGCCUGGUGGUUAGAGCAUCUUCCUCGGAAGUGGGAGGUCACAGGUUCGAACCUGGACCAAGUCA